rnacentral:lncRNA from 1 species
UCUUGUGCUCUGCUCGUUUCUUACUCUCUUUCUUGUUUCUCUGCUUGAUUUGCAGUUCAGACGGUGCCGUGCCGUUGGGGUUGCCUUGCCGGUCGACCGGAGAUGGAGCUUAUCGUUUGAGCCUCUGCCCUCCCCGUCGAGGUUGCUCCUCACCAUCGCAGGCACGGUCUGGUCGGGGCCACGACAACGAGAGGAGCAGCAGAGGAUAACUUUUCCCCACGGAUCCUUCUCGUCUUCCAUGUGAUUCGAGUCGCCUCUCUCCGUCAGGUACGAACUCGAUCCGCCUCCCCGCAGGAUGAUUCUCCGUUGAUUUCUUUUCCUGUCGCGUCGAUCCGGGCGGAUCUGGGACGGAAUCAGCCGCACCUGAUGCUGGGUCGUUUCAUCUAUUUGAUCCUGUUCGCCCCCGCUCUGUUUGCUUGAUGAUCCAUUCGAUUGGGGAUAAGCAAAGGGGUUCGGGGAUUGAUGAUUUGUUGGGAAGUUAGCCUCUGCUGCUGCAUCUUAGUGGAUCUGAUCUGGAUUUGCAGUUUGAGGUAGGGGUCCAUAAUGUGUGGGCAUUUUGCGAGCUUGUAAGCUUAUGUAGAACUGCUUGGGUAGAUCCAACUAUUCUGUGGUAGUUGCUCGUAUGUAUGGUAAAUUAACCCGAUUAGCCUGCUGUGUAUGAAUAUUUAAGCCGCUUUCUUUCAAUCUGUUGGUUCUGAGCUUUGCAUCACUGGUGUGUGUUCCUUCCAGAUCCUGCACGGACCUCCCUGUCAGGCCCCUCUUGCCGCCCGUCGACACGUCCUUCGAUCUUGUUGUGUUGAUCAUGGGUAAGUGGCAAUGCAUUAUAAUGUAGUCAUUGGAGUUCUCUUUUGGGCUUUUAUUUAACUUUUGAUGUACAAUGUUUACAACUACCCAAAAAAUUAAGCUAUGUGUGACGUGAUUUAUAACUAAGCAUGGUCUAAUGUUUUGAGGGCAAUGACAGGGACCAUUCCAUUUGAAGAGGCUCAUGCUGCCCGGAUUUCAUUAAGCAAGCCAUCUAUGUCCCAAAGUUGAGGACCGUUUGGAGAAGAGGCUACCCAGGUAAGCUUAUCCAAGCUCAAACAUUAAUUUAAUCAUUAUUUAGUUGCCGUACUUGCGUUCCUAGAUGGAUCUUUUGAGAUUCCACAACUUUGAAAUUCUUACUUGGGAUCAUUUGAUAUGUGCCCUUGAAAAUAACAGAACGGAUCAUUCCUAGAUGAAUUCUUAGCUGAUUUCACUGGGCUUCUCCCUUUAUGCUAAUAUGAAAUAUAUUAGCUGCAGUAUAUAGUCUAGGUUCAUUUUAAUGCGACUAAAUGAGAUAAAAAUACUACCUGCUUAUACCACUCGAGUAUCCACCGUUAGGACGUUAUGUUCCCUGCAAACACAACAUAACCUUUUUGACUUAUUAUCCCUAAAAAAAGCUGACUCUUUUUCACAAGCUGAAAAGACAAUCUGAUCUGCCACAUUUGGUCUGAAAUUUUCUUCUUGUGUGUCCACAUGAUAAAGAGGAUGCCUUUGAUCAAUUGUAAAUCACUUAUUUUUCUAGGAUAUAUAGAUUUCUUGAAUUACCCACAAUAUACUUUUAUGUCAUCUAAUAUACGUUUCCCAGACAAUUUAAACAGAUGCAGGAUAUGAUUAGGCGCACAUAUACAAGUAUCUUUAUGACGACACCUGCACCAGUUUUCAUCGUUGUUGUUCUUGCCUGUUGCCUCCCCCCCCUAUCGCUUUGCUAGGUGAGAGACCCCUCUCCUUUCCUGUUAGAAAAUACCAAGUAUUUGCAAUGCUUGAUUGUUAUGCCAACUUUUCUUAGAACCUUGGUGCAUGGGCCAUACAGCGAUCUCCAUACUACAAUUUAGAAUUAUAAGAAAUUGCAUCCUCUAUUUAUUUAGGAAUCUAGGUUUGUAUUUUUCUGAUUUGGUUUUUGCUUUCUGGUUAUUUGGUACCGUGCGCCAUGAUGUACUUCCUGUCUAUCAUGCUUGGGUUUGUAGGUACCGUUCAUUGAUCCCUGGACUUUUGACCAAUUUAUGUUCGUGACAUCUUGCGUGUAUUCCCUUUCUCAUGAUUUGUGAUUCUCAAUUCUGCCAGCUUUGUGGAGACAUGGAACCGAAGUCAUGAGGUGGACAUUAUCAUUUUGUUAGACUGGGUGUGGAAUUGCAAGUUACUCCAUUGGCAACCACAUACAGACCCGCACCAACUAUCAUCAUAAAUAGAUUAUUUCCAUGCUCUAAGUCAGUCUGUUAGGGGAAAAUCAAAGGCAUGUGGGCACCUGAUCUAUUUGUAACAUCGACAUGUGAUGUGUGCAACUAAAAAAAUGUUAGGCUAUGAUAGCAAUUCUUUUCAACACAUGUUCUCAUACAUUCUGGAUAUACUUCCUGCUAAAAUGACAUAUAUAUUUUCUUUUACAUGUCGCCUUUAUACCUUUUCAUCCCCUGGACCUGUGUAAUACUCCCUCUGUACCGUAAUAGUUGU